rnacentral:rRNA from 1 species
GGGUGCGAUCAUACCAGCACUAAUGUACCAGAUCCCAUCAGAACUCUGCAGCUAAGCGUAUUUGGGUGAGAGUAGUACUAGGAUUCGUGAACUCCUGGGAAGUCCUUGUGUUGCACCCC